rnacentral:rRNA from 1 species
GACGAACGCUGGCGGCGUGCUUAACACAUGCAAGUCGAACGGAAAGGCCCUGCUUGCAGGGUACUCGAGUGGCGAACGGGUGAGUAACACGUGGGUGAUCUGCCCUGCACUUCGGGAUAAGCCUGGGAAACUGGGUCUAAUACCGGAUAGGAGCCAUUUUUAGUGUGAUGGUUGGAAAGUUUUUUCGGUGUAGGAUGAGCUCGCGGCCUAUCGGCUUGUUGGUGGGGUAAUGGCCUACCAAGGCGGCGACGGGUAGCCGGCCUGUGAGGGUGGACGGCGACAUUGGGACUGAGAUACGGCCCAGACUCCUACGGGAGGCAGCAGUGGGGAAUAUUGCACAAUGGGCGCAAGCCUGAUGCAGCGACGCCGCGGGGGGGAUGACGGCCUUCGGGUUGUAAACUCCUUUCGCUAGGGACGAAGCUUUUUGUGACGGUACCUAGAUAAGAAGCACCGGCUAACUACGUG